UUACAGAAAAAGCCUGGGAAAUAUGAUGCUUUUGUUCACUGAAACAUGAAAUGUCAUUAUAAGAUGCCCUCCAAACCUGAAGAGAAAGUCCUGCAGGAAAUCAAAGGUUGGAAUUAAAUGACAUGCAGGCUUUGUGACAAGGCUAAACUGUUGCUACUAACAAAGCAAAAGAAGCAAAGAUGCAUGGUG